AUGCCAUGGUGGCAUAAUUUGGGGUGGCCUGCCCUGAGCCCAUUAUUGCCACAGGAAUGCCAGCAUGUUACAUCAUUAUUUGAACUGAAAAAUGAAAUCGGACUUUUUCUAACAGGAAAUAAAUCUUGUGUGGCUGGUUUGUGUGAUAGUGUGGGGUAUGAAGAGAAUUAUAGAAGACUCCAAGGUGGGAAGAGGAGAAGAAAAAUAAACUGGACUUUCUAUCCAUCAUGCUGUCAGACAGAGUCCAUGAUGGCUGGUUACCCAUCACAUACCAGUUGUUGGUGCAAUCCGGUCGUGCCUGAGUUAGCAAGUUCCCCAUCUAACCGUGGCGGGAGCCUCAGCUGGAGCAUUUGGGUACAGGCUGCAGCUGACAAGAUGACACUGUGCCCCCACUGUACACAAAUGAAGGACAGACUAUCCGAAGCUACCCACAGCUCUGAUAGUCUGGGGUUCUACAGCUCAGUGAAGGCAGAGAGGAACGGUACCCCGGGAAGAAGGAAAGUGCAGAACUAACAUUCAGACCAUGACAACACAACACUGGGAACACAUUUUGUACCGGGUGUAUCGUCCAUGUAUUUUUGGCUAAGUCUUCCUACCUAAAAUUGUGAU
rnacentral:lncRNA from 1 species